UACGUAGGGUCCGAGCGUUUGUCCGGAAUUAUUGGGCGUAAAGGGCUCGUAGGCGGUUUGUCGCGUCGGCUGUGAAAACUCGGGGCUCAACUCCGAGCUUGCAGUCGAUACGGGCAGGCUAGAGUUCGGCAGGGGGAGACUGGAAUUCCUGGUGUAGCGGUGAAAUGCGCAGAUAUCAGGAGGAACACCGGUGGCGAAGGCGGGUCUCUGGGCCGAUACUGACACUGAGGAGCGAAAGCGUGGGGGAGCGAACAGG
rnacentral:rRNA from 1 species